rnacentral:lncRNA from 1 species
GGCGCUUUUAAGCACCGCUAAAACUAUUUGCUGCGUUUUUGCAAGCGCCGCAAAAGACGCUGCUAUAGGAAACGCCGCUAAUGUUUGCGGCGUUUAUCUAAAAAAAUGCCGCUAAGGUCAUGACCUUUAGCGGCACUUUUCCCACAAACGCCGCUAAAGGUCAUAAAAUUUAAAAAAAUAAAAUAUUAUAAAAGUCAUGAAAAAUAUAAAAAAAUUAAAAUUCAUUAUCAAAAUAUUGAAAAGAAGAAUAAUAUCUAUGAUAUAAAUAUAUAUCCCACCAAACAGAAAGUUUAUAAAUAACAAUCAAACAAAAUACAUCACUUAUCAUACUACACCAGAAAUCAUCAAAAUACAAAUAGAACAAAAUAAUGAUAGAAUGCACACUUUAAGAUCAGCAUUUAGCUCAAACAAGUCGUCACUAUGCAUGAUUCAGCAAAUCCUGAACCAUGCAUCCAAUAAAAACUCAAACCUGAGAAAAAAGAAACAAAAGUUAAUGAAUGACAUAUGAAGGCAAGAACCAACCAAAAUAAUAGAAUCAGAUUCCAGUUAUUAUGAAAGUAGAUAACUUAUCUUAAGAUAAGGUUCUUUUAAAUUCAAAACCCUAAAUCAGAUUAAAAAUAAAAUAUGCAAUUAACAAGUCAACAUUAACGCCACAUAUAACAUCAAAUUGCACAACUUAAUAUACUCAAUACAUUGGCAUAAAUAACAUCACAUUGAACAAUGAAUUUAACACAUUCGAAUAGAUCAAUUUUAAGCUCACUAAUGGUUAAUUUAGCAUGAGAACAGCAUAUAAAUGUUUUGCAUUUACAACAUGGUUUAAUCAACUUCAAGCAGGAAAUUAAAUGCUGCAAAUUUCCUGCAUUCAAAAUCAUAUAUGGACAACAUUAAAAUGACAUUUUCGAGCACCUUAAAGACACAUUUGGAAAAUUUGAGGAACCAUUUGAACAACCACAUUCGAACAUCUUAAAGACAACUAAAUUUUGUCUUGUUUUGGACAACCUUACAGGUCAGCAAGAAUGUAUUAAACCACGCCUAACAUGUUUAUUUCAUCAUGCUUUGAACAACAAUAAACAACCAUUAUCCUAUUAAGAUGCAGGGACCUUUAAUGAAAAACAAGAAAAACCUUUACGCAUGACCAAGUCCCAAGAUAAUGAAGAUGAUGCUAUUGGAUCUUUCCACCAAUUCCCCAUUUCAAAAGCAGCUAAAAAAGAAAAUAACCAAAACCAUGAUAGAACAUGAUGUCUAGAAAUAAGAAAGAAAAAACAACAAUCUAAAAAUAGCAAGGCAAGGAAAAUGACUUAAAGCCUAUAGACUCUAAAGCUAAGGUGACCAAAAACCUGAAGGAAGUAAAUAAAUCUAAAAAUGAUUUGAUGUUCUAAGGGGGGAAAUGACUCAUAACGCAAAAAUUCCUUGUGCUCAACAAACAUACAACUUGGACAUUCCUUACAUGUAUAUAUAUUAAAAAAAAAAUGGCGGGAUGCAUGCUUUUUGCACAACAGACAGCUUCGUGUUUUAAGAAAAAGAGAUUAUUUCAAUAACUUCAAAUUAAAAUUUAUUGAAAGUAAUCAUUAUUGAUGCUUUCAAACAUGCAUCCAAUAAAUGACUGUCAACAAUCAGGAGAAAGAGAUUUAAUAGGUUUAAGCUAGAUUAAAGCAAGACAUAAACAAGCUUCUUAUGAGGCUUGAUAAGAAAAAAAAAGUGUCAAUAGUCAUAUCAAAGGUUUAGUAAUGAAUAUAGGUGUUAUAAAUAGUUUAAUGGCAGAGUUUUGAGGUAUCAAGAAAGAGGCUUGGUUUUUGCUUUACAGUUAGGAUUGAAUGUAUCAUCUUUUUCAUCAAAUCAAAGCAUUUUAAUUCCAUAAAAUUUCCACACCACUUUUCCUUUAAACUAAAGACAUAAAUAAAAUCCCCAAAAGCUAAUUGAUUCUAGAAUCAAAGUUCAGGCAAUUAUAAUCAAACUAAACUAUCGUAGCUAACUACAAAUACUGGAAACGAUAUAGAAAUAUUCCAGCAUCAAACAUGUAGGAGUUAUAACCACCUCAAAAACUUGAAAGACCUGAAUAAGAACCGUAAUUAAUAGAUGACAUAUGAAGAUAUUUGCAUAAGUAGGAAUAUAAUCAUAUAUAUAUAGCUUUUUCAAGUUGACAUAUGAAGAUAUUUGCAUAAGCAGGAAAAUUUUGUACCAAGCUGUCAGUAUAUC